rnacentral:rRNA from 1 species
CCUACGGGUGGCAACAGUGGGGAAUAUUGGGCAAUGGAGGCAACUCUGACCCAGCAAAGCCGCGUGAAUGAUGACGGUCUUCGGAUUGUAAAGUCCUGUGAUGGGGGAUGAACACACUGACGGUACCCCAAUAGCAAGCCACGGCGAACUACGUGCCAGCAGCAGCGGGAAUACGGCGGUGGCAGGCGUUCUCCGGAAUGACUGGGCGUAAAGGGUGCGUAGGUGGUUUAGUAAGUUGGCGGUGUAAUUCCGGGGCCCAACCCCCGCGCUACCGCAAAAACUAGUAGACUAGAGUGGGGGAGGAGUACGUGGAAUGCGCAGUGUAGCGGUGGAAUGCAUAGAUAUUAGGAAGAACAUCAGGUGCGAAGGCGACGUACUGGA